rnacentral:tRNA from 1 species
GGGAAUAUAAUUUUAAUUGGAAAAAUAUUAGUUUUGCGUUCUAAAGUUAUUGGUUCAAGCCCAAUUAUUUCCA